UGCUUCCUAUAUAAGGAAAUGCCUGACUGACCAUGGUGUGGCACUUCUGAACACAGCUGCCACAGAGAGUGUUCCACCCAGCAACUUCACUUGAUCAAUUAAAGUGCUGCUUAUCUUGGAAGCCUCCACUUGAAUCUCCUGAUUUGCCUUCUUAGAACCUCAAGUUCUUCAGGAGGAUGCCGCCUGGAUGGGAAGAAAGCUGGCCUGAGAUGCUGCCUGGUGCUGGAGGAUCGCACUGCCCCAAGGAUGCCGCCAGUCCCACUGAAGCUACCUUCUAUGACCCAUUUUUCACCAGUGCAGUUCGGGCUGAAGCUACAAGAGGAAGCCACCUCAAUACAGUGAUUGACAGCCAAGGGGAUAGCCAAAUGCCUAAUUUUAAUUCACUGCAAAUAUAAGAAGGGAAAUUCUGCCUCUGAAGCAGCUGAAGCGACUCUCGCAAGCAUGAAUUAUUAUUUCUACAAGAAGUCGUGAGCGACAUGCAGCAUUCUCCUCAGCUAUCUCUCUUAUUCCAUUAGAAUAGCCAAGAAUCAGAUUGACUGAAUGGAAACAUCAUCAUCAUGAGCUGCUAGACCAGGGGACUCCAAAAUUGACAACUUUAAGACUUGUGGAUUUCAGAA